rnacentral:rRNA from 1 species
AGAACGAACGCUGGCGGCAUGCCUAACACAUGCAAGUCGAACGAGACCUUCGGGUCUAGUGGCGCACGGGUGCGUAACGCGUGGGAAUCUGCCCUUGGGUUCGGGAUAACAGUUGGAAACGACUGCUAAUACCGGAUGAUGUCUUCGGACCAAAGAUUUAUCGCCCAGGGAUGAGCCCGCGUCGGAUUAGCUAGUUGGUGGGGUAAGAGCCUACCAAGGCGACGAUCCGUAGCUGGUCUGAGAGGAUGAUCAGCCACACUGGGACUGAGACACGGCCCAGACUCCUACGGGAGGCAGCAGUGGGGAAUAUUGGACAAUGGGCGAAAGCCUGAUCCAGCAAUGCCGCGUGAGUGAUGAAGGCCUUAGGUUGUAAAGCUCUUUUACCGGGAUGAUAAUGACAGUACCGGGAGAAUAAGCCCGGCUAACUCCGUGCCAGCAGCCGC